CCUCUGGAUGAUGAAGAGAUGGUGUCAUACAUCCUCACCAGACUCGACGUUGAUUACAACCCUAUUGUGUCGGCUAUUGUUGCACGAGUGGAGCCCAUCAUCGUGAGUUAGUUGUACACUCAGCUUCUAAGUUUUGAGA